rnacentral:rRNA from 1 species
GACGAACGCUGGCGGCGUGCCUAAUACAUGCAAGUAGAACGCUGAAGGAGGAGCUUGCUUCUCUGGAUGAGUUGCGAACGGGUGAGUAACGCGUAGGUAACCUGCCUGGUAGCGGGGGAUAACUAUUGGAAACGAUAGCUAAUACCGCAUAAUAGCAGUUGUUGCAUGACAACUGUUUGAAAGGUGCAAAUGCAUCACUACCAGAUGGACCUGCGUUGUAUUAGCUAGUUGGUGGGGUAAAGGCUCACCAAGGCGACGAUACAUAGCCGACCUGAGAGGGUGAUCGGCCACACUGGGACUGAGACACGGCCCAGACUCCUACGGGAGGCAGCAGUAGGGAAUCUUCGGCAAUGGACGGAAGUCUGACCGAGCAACGCCGCGUGAGUGAAGAAGGGUGUCGGAUCGUAAAGCUCUGUUGUAAGAGAAGAACGAGUGUGAGAGUGGAAAGUUCACACUGUGACGGUAUCUUACCAGAAAGGGACGGCUAACUACGUG